AUUGAACGCUGGCGGCAGGCUUAACACAUGCAAGUCGAGCGGAGAUGAGGUGCUUGCACCUUAUCUUAGCGGCGGACGGGUGAGUAAUGCUUAGGAAUCUGCCUAUUAGUGGGGGACAACAUUCCGAAAGGAAUGCUAAUACCACAUACGUCCUACGGGAGAAAGCAGGGGAUCUUCGGACCUUGCGCUAAUAGAUGAGCCUAAGUCGGAUUAGCUAGUUGGUGGGGUAAAGGCCUACCAAGGCGACGAUCUGUAGCGGGUCUGAGAGGAUGAUCCGCCACGCUGGGACUGAGACACGGCCCAGACUCCUACGGGAGGCAGCAGUGGGGAAUAUUGGACAAUGGGGGGAACCCUGAUCCAGCCAUGCCGCGUGUGUGAAGAAGGCCUUAUGGUUGUAAAGCACUUUAAGCGAGGAGGAGGCUACUGAGACUAAUACUCUUGGAUAGUGGACGUUACUCGCAGAGUAAGCACCGGCUAACUCUGUGCCAGCCGCCGCCGUAAUAC
rnacentral:rRNA from 1 species